UACGAAGGGGGCUAGCGUUGCUCGGAAUCACUGGGCGUAAAGCGCACGUAGGCGGCUUUUUAAGUCAGGGGUGAAAUCCUGGAGCUCAACUCCAGAACUGCCUUUGAUACUGAAGAUCUUGAGUUCGGGAGAGGUGAGUGGAACUGCGAGUGUAGAGGUGAAAUUCGUAGAUAUUCGCAAGAACACCAGUGGCGAAGGCGGCUCACUGGCCCGAUACUGACGCUGAGGCACGAAAGCCAAGGGGAGCAAACGGGGAGUUAG
rnacentral:rRNA from 1 species